GGUUAAGCGACUAAGCGUACACGGUGGAUGCCCUGGCAGUCAGAGGCGAUGAAGGACGUGCUAAUCUGCGAUAAGCGUCGGUAAGGUGAUAUGAACCGUUAUAACCGGCGAUUUCCGAAUGGGGGAAACCCAGUGUGUUUCGACACACUAUCAUUAACUGAAUCCAUAGGUUAAUGAGGCGAACCGGGGGAACUGAAACAUCUAAGUACCCCGAGGAAAAGAAAUCAACCGAGAUUCCCCCCAGUAGCGGCGAGCGAACGGGGAGCAGCCCAGAGCCUGAAUCAGUGUGUGUGUUAGUGGAAGCGUCUGGAAAGGCGCGCGAUACAGGGUGACAGCCCCGUACACAAAAAUGCACAUGCUGUGAGCUCGAUGAGUAGGGCGGGACACGUGGUAUCCUGUCUGAAUAUGGGGGGACCAUCCUCCAAGGCUAAAUACUCCUGACUGACCGAUAGUGAACCAGUACCGUGAGGGAAAGGCGAAAAGAACCCCGGCGAGGGGAGUGAAAAAGAACCUGAAACCGUGUACGUACAAGCAGUGGGAGCACGCUUAGGCGUGUGACUGCGUACCUUUUGUAUAAUGGGUCAGCGACUUAUAUUCUGUAGCAAGGUUAACCGAAUAGGGGAGCCGAAGGGAAACCGAGUCUUAACUGGGCGUUAAGUUGCAGGGUAUAGACCCGAAACCCGGUGAUCUAGCCAUGGGCAGGUUGAAGGUUGGGUAACACUAACUGGAGGACCGAACCGACUAAUGUUGAAAAAUUAGCGGAUGACUUGUGGCUGGGGGUGAAAGGCCAAUCAAACCGGGAGAUAGCUGGUUCUCCCCGAAAGCUAUUUAGGUAGCGCCUCGUGAACUCAUCUCCGGGGGUAGAGCACUGUUUCGGCAAGGGGGUCAUCCCGACUUACCAACCCGAUGCAAACUGCGAAUACCGGAGAAUGUUAUCACGGGAGACACACGGCGGGUGCUAACGUCCGUCGUGAAGAGGGAAACAACCCAGACCGCCAGCUAAGGUCCCAAAGUCAUGGUUAAGUGGGAAACGAUGUGGGAAGGCCCAGACAGCCAGGAUGUUGGCUUAGAAGCAGCCAUCAUUUAAAGAAAGCGUAAUAGCUCACUGGUCGAGUCGGCCUGCGCGGAAGAUGUAACGGGGCUAAACCAUGCACCGAAGCUGCGGCAGCGACGCUUAUGCGUUGUUGGGUAGGGGAGCGUUCUGUAAGCCUGUGAAGGUGUGCUGUGAGGCAUGCUGGAGGUAUCAGAAGUGCGAAUGCUGACAUAAGUAACGAUAAAGCGGGUGAAAAGCCCGCUCGCCGGAAGACCAAGGGUUCCUGUCCAACGUUAAUCGGGGCAGGGUGAGUCGACCCCUAAGGCGAGGCCGAAAGGCGUAGUCGAUGGGAAACAGGUUAAUAUUCCUGUACUUGGUGUUACUGCGAAGGGGGGACGGAGAAGGCUAUGUUGGCCGGGCGACGGUUGUCCCGGUUUAAGCGUGUAGGCUGGUUUUCCAGGCAAAUCCGGAAAAUCAAGGCUGAGGCGUGAUGACGAGGCACUACGGUGCUGAAGCAACAAAUGCCCUGCUUCCAGGAAAAGCCUCUAAGCAUCAGGUAACAUCAAAUCGUACCCCAAACCGACACAGGUGGUCAGGUAGAGAAUACCAAGGCGCUUGAGAGAACUCGGGUGAAGGAACUAGGCAAAAUGGUGCCGUAACUUCGGGAGAAGGCACGCUGAUAUGUAGGUGAAGCGACUUGCUCGUGGAGCUGAAAUCAGUCGAAGAUACCAGCUGGCUGCAACUGUUUAUUAAAAACACAGCACUGUGCAAACACGAAAGUGGACGUAUACGGUGUGACGCCUGCCCGGUGCCGGAAGGUUAAUUGAUGGGGUUAGCGCAAGCGAAGCUCUUGAUCGAAGCCCCGGUAAACGGCGGCCGUAACUAUAACGGUCCUAAGGUAGCGAAAUUCCUUGUCGGGUAAGUUCCGACCUGCACGAAUGGCGUAAUGAUGGCCAGGCUGUCUCCACCCGAGACUCAGUGAAAUUGAACUCGCUGUGAAGAUGCAGUGUACCCGCGGCAAGACGGAAAGACCCCGUGAACCUUUACUAUAGCUUGACACUGAACAUUGAGCCUUGAUGUGUAGGAUAGGUGGGAGGCUUUGAAGUGUGGACGCCAGUCUGCAUGGAGCCGACCUUGAAAUACCACCCUUUAAUGUUUGAUGUUCUAACGUUGACCCGUAAUCCGGGUUGCGGACAGUGUCUGGUGGGUAGUUUGACUGGGGCGGUCUCCUCCUAAAGAGUAACGGAGGAGCACGAAGGUUGGCUAAUCCUGGUCGGACAUCAGGAGGUUAGUGCAAUGGCAUAAGCCAGCUUGACUGCGAGCGUGACGGCGCGAGCAGGUGCGAAAGCAGGUCAUAGUGAUCCGGUGGUUCUGAAUGGAAGGGCCAUCGCUCAACGGAUAAAAGGUACUCCGGGGAUAACAGGCUGAUACCGCCCAAGAGUUCAUAUCGACGGCGGUGUUUGGCACCUCGAUGUCGGCUCAUCACAUCCUGGGGCUGAAGUAGGUCCCAAGGGUAUGGCUGUUCGCCAUUUAAAGUGGUACGCGAGCUGGGUUUAGAACGUCGUGAGACAGUUCGGUCCCUAUCUGCCGUGGGCGCUGGAGAACUGAGGGGGGCUGCUCCUAGUACGAGAGGACCGGAGUGGACGCAUCACUGGUGUUCGGGUUGUCAUGCCAAUGGCACUGCCCGGUAGCUAAAUGCGGAAGAGAUAAGUGCUGAAAGCAUCUAAGCACGAAACUUGCCCCGAGAUGAGUUCUCCCUGACCCUUUAAGGGUCCUGAAGGAACGUUGAAGACGACGACGUUGAUAGGCCGGGUGUGUAAGCGCAGCGAUGCGUUGAGCUAACCGGUACUAAUGAACCGUGAGGCUUAACCUU
rnacentral:rRNA from 1 species